AUUGAACGCUGGCGGCAGGCCUAACACAUGCAAGUCGAGCGAGCGGCGGACGGGUGAGUAAUGUCUGGGAAACUGCCUGAUGGAGGGGGAUAACUACUGGAAACGGUCGCUAAUACCGCAUACCAUCAGAUGUGCCCAGAUGGGAUUAGCUAGUAGGUGGGGUAACGGCUCACCUAGGCGACGAUCCCUAGCUGGUCUGAGAGGAUGACCAGCAAAACUGGAACUGAGAAACGGUCCAACCGCCUACUGGAGGCAGCAGUGGGGAAUAUUGCACAAUGGGCGCAAGCCGGAUACAGCCAUGCCGCGUGUGUGAAGAAGGCCGUCGGGUUGUAAAGCACUUUCAGCGGGGAGGCGUUACCCGCAGAAGAAGCACCGGCUAACUCCGUGCCAGCCGCCGCGGUAAUUC
rnacentral:rRNA from 1 species